rnacentral:rRNA from 1 species
GAUGAACGCUGGCGGCGUGCCUAAUACAUGCAAGUCGAGCGAACGGACGAGAAGCUUGCUUCUCUGAUGUUAGCGGCGGACGGGUGAGUAACACGUGGAUAACCUACCUAUAAGACUGGGAUAACUUCGGGAAACCGGAGCUAAUACCGGAUAAUAUUUUGAACCGCAUGGUUCAAAAGUGAAAGACGGUCUUGCUGUCACUUAUAGAUGGAUCCGCGCUGCAUUAGCUAGUUGGUAAGGUAACGGCUUACCAAGGCAACGAUGCAUAGCCGACCUGAGAGGGUGAUCGGCCACACUGGAACUGAGACACGGUCCAGACUCCUACGGGAGGCAGCAGUAGGGAAUCUUCCGCAAUGGGCGAAAGCCUGACGGAGCAACGCCGCGUGGGUGAUGAAGGUCUUCGGAUCGUAAAACUCUGUUAUUAGGGAAGAACAUAUGUGUAAGUAACUGUGCACAUCUUGACGGUACCUAAUCAGAAAGCCACGGCUAACUACGUGCCAGCAGCCGCGGUAAUACGUAGGUGGCAAGCGUUAUCCGGAAUUAUUGGGCGUAAAGCGCGCGUAGGCGGUUUUUUAAGUCUGAUGUGAAAGCCCACGGCUCAACCGUGGAGGGUCAUUGGAAACUGGAAAACUUGAGUGCAGAAGAGGAAAGUGGAAUUCCAUGUGUAGCGGUGAAAUGCGCAGAGAUAUGGAGGAACACCAGUGGCGAAGGCGACUUUCUGGUCUGUAACUGACGCUGAUGUGCGAAAGCGUGGGGAUCAAACAGGAUUAGAUACCCUGGUAGUCCACGCCGUAAACGAUGAGUGCUAAGUGUUAGGGGGUUUCCGCCCCUUAGUGCUGCAGCUAACGCAUUAAGCACCCCGCCUGGGGAGUACGACCGCAAGGUUGAAACUCAAAGGAAUUGACGGGGACCCGCACAAGCGGUGGAGCAUGUGGUUUAAUUCGAAGCAACGCGAAGAACCUUACCAAAUCUUGACAUCCUUUGACAACUCUAGAGAUAGAGCCUUCCCCUUCGGGGGACAAAGUGACAGGUGGUGCAUGGUUGUCGUCAGCUCGUGUCGUGAGAUGUUGGGUUAAGUCCCGCAACGAGCGCAACCCUUAAGCUUAGUUGCCAUCAUUAAGUUGGGCACUCUAAGUUGACUGCCGGUGACAAACCGGAGGAAGGUGGGGAUGACGUCAAAUCAUCAUGCCCCUUAUGAUUUGGGCUACACACGUGCUACAAUGGACAAUACAAAGGGCAGCGAAACCGCGAGGUCAAGCAAAUCCCAUAAAGUUGUUCUCAGUUCGGAUUGUAGUCUGCAACUCGACUACAUGAAGCUGGAAUCGCUAGUAAUCGUAGAUCAGCAUGCUACGGUGAAUACGUUCCCGGGUCU